AAGUUCCAAGCCGUUACAGUUGGUAUCAGAGCAACAUUUCUCAUAAUCAUUCAUUACACAAAAACCCUAGGAAAUACCAAAAAAUGAAUCAUCACUCAACCAUUCCUUGUGAAAUGUAGGCACAGAUAGAUGAGGAGAUGAAGACCCCCAUAAAACUGAUGAGUCCGGGAGGGUUCCCUUUGAGAGGAUGUUGACUGAUUAUUUAAAAUGC
rnacentral:lncRNA from 1 species